CCUACGUGCGGCAGCAGUGAGGAAUAUUGCGCAAUGGGGGAAACCCUGACGCAGCAACGCCGCGUGAGUGAGGAAGGUUUUCGGACCGUAAAGCUCUGUCGAGCGGGAAGAAGUGCAUGGUGGCUAAUAUCCAUUAUGCUUGACGGUACCGCUAAAGGAAGCACCGGCUAACUCCGUGCCAGCAGCCGCGGUAAUACGGGGGGUGCUAGCGUUGUUCGGAAUCAUUGGGCGGCUGGAGAAGUUAGAUGGCAAAGCCCUGGGCUUAACCUAGGAAGUGCAUUUGAAACUGUUCAGCUUGAGUAAGGGAGAGGAAAGUGGAAUUCCUGGUGUAGAGGUGAAAUUCGUAGAUAUCAGGAGGAACACCGGUGGCGAAGGCGACUUUCUGGCCCUAUACUGACGCUGAGACGCGAGAGCGUGGGUAGCAAACAGGAUUAGAUACCCGAGUAGUC
rnacentral:rRNA from 1 species